GCACUCAGAAAUAGUUCCUAUCAGUCCAACAGACGUCUUUACCAAUUUAGGGCUGUGUAUUUGACCAGGACUACGGGAAGGAAACGUUAAUCCUAAAAGAAAAAAAAUCACUGAAAUGAUACUGGACUGUGAAAUGGAUUGAAGUGAGGAAGAUGUGCGCGCUCUGAACCCCUGAAGCAUGAGCCUCACUCCGUCCAACAGAAGGUGGUGCUGAGAUCUGCAGAAGCCAAAUGAGGAAAUUAUGAUGAAAUAUUUGACCUACAUCGGGAAAUGUCAAUUAAAAUAAGGUACACUUGCCUGAUGCAUAUGGAGACUGAAGUAGCAGUAAUUUUCCAGCUUCUCGUUCUACUAGUUACCAACCAGCUCUACGAGCAAAAACAUCUGGGAAGCCAGAUACCAUUGGUAGAACAGGUUUUGUUUCUUUUUAUUUCCAGAAGUGCUCUAAAAUUCAUGCUCCGAAAAUCGCCAGAGGAAAAGAAUACGGGUUUGUAGUGAAAAUCUCUCUUUCACAAGAAAAGGCAUUAGAGAUAAAUUUCUUGAUUUUCCCCUGUGUUUGAUCUCCAUACAACUGACAUCCUUGUUUACGUGAUGGCUUCAGCAAGGAUUGGUCUCUCACCUCUCUGUCUGAUGCGUGGAGCACACUCCAUUUCUUUCCAAGGAUCAAAGCUCUGUUUUGCAACCUUGCGGAUUUUGUAUCUGCCCAGGGGAGUUAUAGUUGUGGCAACUCAUGGAGAAGAGAAAAAAGGAAGUGAACACAAACACACACG
rnacentral:lncRNA from 1 species